UGCACUGUGGUAGUGGGGAACAGGAAGUUCCGGACAGGCGCGCAACAUUCUUCAGAAUAAAGAAAGCGUGCAGUCUAGAAGAGAAUCAUUGUGUCCGUCUCUAUUUAUUACUACAGAAUGAAGAACGUGAUAACUACUUGACAAGUUCCAUAACUAGAGACUUGGUUUGUCUGAGUGGAUGUACAUACUUUUCUCAAAGUAAUUCUGCGUAAACGGGCUUCGGGCAGUGCGGGUGCAGCAGAGAGAGCCAAUUUGACGGUUGCAGUACUGUUUUGAAGCUGAAAUCUGAGGUCGGUAACAUCAAGUGAGGACAAACCCAGCCUGAUCUCUCCUUCCACACUGAGUCCAAACCUACAGUCACUGGGUCCUGAUUGUGACAGUGGAGCCCAGUUUGCACUGCAG